UGAGAGGGCGACCGGUCACACUGGGACUGAGACACGGCCCAGACUCCUACGGGAGGCAGCAGUGGGGAAUAUUGCGCAAUGGGCGGAAGCCUGACGCAGCGACGCCGCGUGGGGGAUGACGGCCUUCGGGUUGUAAACCCCUUUCAGCAUCGACGAAGCUUCAUCCUUGCAGGGUGGGGUGACGGUAGGUGCAGAAGAAGCGCCGGCUAACUACGUGCCAGCAGCCGCGGUAAUACGUAGGGCGCGAGCGUUGUCCGGAAUUAUUGGGCGUAAAGAGCUCGUAGGCGGUCUGUCGCGUCUGUCGUGAAAGCCCACGGCUUAACUGUGGGUCUGCGGUGGAUACGGGCAGGCUAGAGGCAGGUAGGGGAGCAUGGAAUUCCCGGUGUAGCGGUGAAAUGCGCAGAUAUCGGGAGGAACACCGGUGGCGAAGGCGGUGCUCUGGGCCUGUUCUGACGCUGAGGAGCGAAAGCGUGGGGAGCGAACAGGAUUAGAUACCCUGGUAGUCCACGCCGUAAACGUUGGGCGCUAGGUGUGGGGUUCUUCCACGGAUUCCGCGCCGUAGCUAACGCAUUAAGCGCCCCGCCUGGGGAGUACGGCC
rnacentral:rRNA from 1 species